AUGGCGGUUAUCGCACCAUGGACCGAACCCCUCCUAGCAUACCUACGCCACAAGGAGCUCCCUGAGGACCAAACCGACACUCGUCGGAUAAUAAGGCAAUCUAAAUCAUACAAGGUCCACGAGGGAGAGCUCUACAAGCAAAACACCACGGGUGUCCUCCAACGGUGCAUAUUCGAGGAAGAAGGAAUGUUGUUUCUGAAUGAGGUACACUCCGGCAUGAGCGGACAUCAUGCCAUUGUGCGGACCUUGGUCAGCAAGGCUUUCCGGGCUGGCUUCUAUUGGCCAAGGAUAGGGGCCGAUGCUAAAAUACUUUUGCAACGCUGCCCCGGCUGCCAGGUAUUCGCUAAACAAAGUCACAUGCCCCCGACAUCUCUUCUGACCAUCUUGAUCACCUGGCCUUUCACGGUCUGGGGUAUCGAUAUGGUUGGCCCCCUUAAGGGAGGUUCAAGGAAAAACAAGUAUUUACUUGUCAUGGUCGACAAGUUUACUAAGUGGAUCAAAGCAAAACCAGUGACUUUGGCUGAAGCAGCCCCGGUGGUCGAAUUCAUAUCCGGUGCAGUACAUCGUCAUGGUAUACCCCAUAGUAUCAUCACAGAGAACAAGACAAAUUUUAAAGCCAAAGAGGUAAAAGCCUGGUGCACCAAAAUGGGCAUAAAGCUCGAUUACGCAUCAGUAUACUACCCGCAAUCAAACCGGCAGGUAGAACGAGCAAAUGGCCUCAUCCUCAGUGGCAUCAAGCCGAGGCUGGUCCGCUCCCUCAAGGAAGCAGAUUGUAAGUGA
rnacentral:rRNA from 1 species